CUGACACCCAGUAAUACCUAGCUAAUUCCUGAGCAGCAACCACCUCCUUCAGCUAACAUUCCACAGCUUUAUGGCCUUCCACAUGAUGUCACAAAGUAUGGAUAUCCCCAAGGCCAAUCCAAGUUAGCUGUCCUGGCUCCACCCCCACCCAGCUCCCCAUGCCCUCUCAAUAGUCCCCCCACACAAGAAACCAAAAGAGUCUUUGCACUGCUGGGUAGGAACAGUCAUCCUGAGAAUUAUCUGUUACUUAUUUCAUCUCUUUUGUUUCAGAAUCAGCUGCGGAUUAUUUUUUUUCCUCAAGCAAAUUUUUAAGAAUUGUGUUGAUUAGCUUGUUUAUUAUGUGACUCAGUAUUGUUUCUGCUCUGAAUUUUAGGAGUUUUCUUUGAUCCCUGGAAGAGGGCUAAGCUAAGCCCUGUAGUGCAGUUCAGAUGUUGUCUUGCCUUUUUGUACACCACUUGUUCCACGAAAAGAAGGCAAAGACUAAAAAGGAGCAGUGCUCUGAGAAAUAUUUGCCUUCUGCUGAACGUAGAAAGAGAAGGAGAGUUCCACAACUAUUGCUUCAUCACCAUACUUUUCAGCAAAUAAAUAUUGUUCAUCAAUAAAACCUCAGGCCGUGAGUCAAUAAUGGUUGAAUAUUAGGUAAGACUACAAUGAAUGCCUUGAUUAAUUUAUAGCUUGAUUGUAAAGACAAUAGAAAACUCAGAAGGCUAAACAAAAUAUUUAUAAGCAUUCUGAUUAGAGCUAAGUCAUUCACUGGAAGUUAGGCAGUUGCUUACCCCAUUAGGA
ensembl:lncRNA